rnacentral:rRNA from 1 species
AUUGAACGCUGGCGGCAUGCUUUACACAUGCAAGUCGAACGGCAGCGCGGGCUUCGGCCUGGCGGCGAGUGGCGAACGGGUGAGUAAUGCAUCGGAACGUGCCCAGUAGUGGGGGAUAGCACGGCGAAAGCCGGAUGAAUACAGCAUCCGACCAGAGGGUGAAACCGGGGGACCGAUAGUCCUCGCGCGAUUGGAGCGGCCGAUGUCGGAUUAGCUAGUUGGUAGGGUAAAGGCUUACCAAGGCGACGAUCCGUAGCUGGUCUGAGAGGACGACCAGCCACACUGGGACUGAGACACGGCCCAGACUCCUACGGGAGGCAGCAGUGGGGAAUUUUGGACAAUGGGGGCAACCCUGACCCAGCCAUGCCGCGUGCGUGAAGAAGGCCUUCGGGUUGUAAACCGCUGUUAUUCGGGAAGAACACCUCUGGGCUAAUACCCCGGGGGGAUGACGGUACCGGAAGAAUAAGCACCGGCUAACUACGUG